AUUUUCCGGUUGAUCCUGCCGGAAGUCACUGCUAUUGGGGUUCGACUAAGCCAUGCGAGUCGAGAGGGAUUAAGCCCUCGGCAAACUGCUCAGUAACGCGUGAGUAAUCUGCCCUCAGAUUGAGGAUAACCCCGGAAAACUGGGGAUAAUACUCAAUAGGUAAAGAGGUCUGGAAGGAUUCUUUGCCCAAAGCUGCGGCGUCUGAGGAUGAGCUUACGUCCGAUUAGGUUGUUGGCGGUGUAAUGGACCACCAAGCCUUCGAUCGGUACGGGCACUGAGAGGUGUAGCCCGGAGUUGGGGACUGAGACACGGCCCCAGGCCCUACGGGGCGCAGCAGGCGCGAAAACUCCGCAAUGCUUGAAAGAGUGACGGGGGAACCCCAAGUGCCUAGUCUUCGGAUUAGGCUUUUUUAGAGUCUAUAACAUUCUAAGAAUAAGAGCUGGGUAAGACCGGUGCCAGCCGCCGCGGUAACACCGGCAGCUCGAGUGGUGGCCACUUUUAUUGGGCCUAAAGCGUUCGUAGCCGGCCUGGUAAGUCUUUGGGUAAAUCCUAUCGCUUAACUUUAGGAAUUCUGACGAUACUGCCAGACUUGAGGUCGAGAGAAGUCUGAGGUACUCUUAGGGUAGGAGUGAAAUCCUGUAAUCCUGAGGGGACCACCAGUGGCGAAGGCGUCAGACUAGAGUGAGCCUGACGGUGAGGGACGAAAGCCAGGGGAGCGAACGGGAUUAGAUACCCCGGUAGUCCUGGCCGUAAACGCUGCGCGCUAGGUGUUGCAUGCUCUACGGGGGCAUGCAGUGCCGAAGAGAAGUUGAUAAGCGUGCCGCCUGGGAAGUAUUACCGCAAGGUAGAAACUUAAAGGAAUUGGCGGGGGAGCACCACAAGGGGUGGAGUCUGCGGUUUAAUUGGAUUCAACGCCGGG
rnacentral:rRNA from 1 species